GACGAACGCUGGCGGCGUGCUUAACACAUGCAAGUCGAACGGAAAGGCCCUGCUUUUGUGGGGUGCUCGAGUGGCGAACGGGUGAGUAACACGUGAGUAACCUGCCCUUGACUUUGGGAUAACUUCAGGAAACUGGGGCUAAUACCGGAUAGGAGCUCCUGCUGCAUGGUGGGGGUUGGAAAGUUUCGGCGGUUGGGGAUGGACUCGCGGCUUAUCAGCUUGUUGGUGGGGUAGUGGCUUACCAAGGCUUUGACGGGUAGCCGGCCUGAGAGGGUGACCGGCGACAUUGGGACUGAGAUACGGCCCAGACUCCUACGGGAGGCAGCAGUGGGGAAUAUUGCACAAUGGGCGGAAGCCUGAUGCAGCAACGCAGCGUGCGGGAUGACGGCCUUCGGGUUGUAAACCGCUUUCGCCUGUGACGAAGCGUGAGUGACGGUAAUGGGUAAAGAAGCACCGGCUAACUACGUG
rnacentral:rRNA from 1 species